rnacentral:rRNA from 1 species
CCUACGGGAGGCAGCAGUGGGGAAUAUUGGGCAAUGGAGGAAACUCUGACCCAGCAACGCCGCGUGAAUGAUGAAGGUCUUCGGAUUGUAAAGUUCUUUUCUAAGGGAAGAAGAAAGUGAUGGUACCUUAGCAAUAAGCCUCGGCUAACUACGUGCCAGCAGCCGCGGCAAUACGUAGGAGGCAAUCGUUAUCCGGAAUGACUGGGCGUAAAGGGUGCUUUGGUGGAGUGACAAGUUGGUAGCGUAACUCCGAGGCUUAACCUCGGAACUACUACCAAAACUGUUGGACUCGAGUGCAGGAGGGGCAAAUGGAAUUCCUGGUGUAGCGGUGGAAUGCGUAGAUAUUAGGAGGAACACCAGUGGCGAAGGCGAUUUGCUGGACUGUAACUGACACUGAGGCACGAAAGCGUGGGGAGCAAACAGGAUUAGAUACCCGAGUAGUC